rnacentral:rRNA from 1 species
GAUUAUGUGAAUUGCAGAACACAUUGAACAUCGACACCUUGAACGCACAUGGCGGCCUCGGGUCCAUCCCGGGGCCACGCCCGUCUGAGGGUCG